rnacentral:rRNA from 1 species
UACGUAGGUGGCAAGCGUUGUCCGGAUUUACUGGGCGUAAAGAGCGCGCAGGCGGUCGUGCAGGUCGCGUGUGAAAGCCCCCGGCUCAACUGGGGAGGGUCACGCGAUACUGCUCGACUCGAAGGCAGGAGAGGGAAGUGGAAUUCCGGGUGUAGCGGUGGAAUGCGUAGAGAUCCGGAAGAACACCGGUGGCGAAGGCGGCCUGCUGGGCAGUAGCUGACGCUGAGGCGCGACAGCGUGGGGAGCAAACAGG